rnacentral:rRNA from 1 species
CCUACGGGGGGCAGCAGUGGGGAAUAUUGGGCAAUGGAGGCAACUCUUACCCAGCAAUGCCGCGUGAAUGAAGAAGGUCUUCGGGUUGUAAAGUUCUUUAAUUGGGGACGAAACAAAUGACGGUACCCCAGGAAUAAGCCCCGGCUAACUACGUGCCAGCAGCCGCGGUAAUACGUAGGGGGCCAGCGUUGUUCGGAUUGACUGGGUGUACAGGGUGUGUAGGCGGUGUAGCAAGUUAGAGGUGAAAUACUUAGGGCCUAACCCAGGUGCUGCUUUUAAAACUGCUAUACUUGAGUGCAGUAGAGGAAAGUGGAAUUCCGAGUGUAGCGGUGGAAUGCGUAGAUAUUAGGAGGAACAUCAGUGGCGAAGGCGACUUUCUGGACUGUAACUGACGCUGAGGCACGAAAGUGUGGGGAGCAAACAGGAUUAGAUACCCUUGUAGUC